rnacentral:rRNA from 1 species
UACGGGGGGGGCAAGCGUUGUUCGGAAUUACUGGGCGUAAAGGGCGCGUAGGCGGCCCUCUAAGUCAGACGUGAAAUCCCACGGCUCAAUCGUGGAACUGCGUCUGAUACUGGAGGGCUUGAAUCCGGGAGAGGGAUGUGGAAUUCCAGGUGUAGCGGUGAAAUGCGUAGAUAUCUGGAGGAACACCGGUGGCGAAGGCGGCAUCCUGGACCGGUAUUGACGCUGAGGCGCGAAAGCUAGGGGAGCAAACGGG